rnacentral:lncRNA from 12 species
ACAGGGGCCAACAUGGAUCUUCCCGUGGACAUCAGCUGAGCCCAGAAGCCUCACCCCUCGGGAGACCAUGGAAAGGGACAGCAGCCGGAAUGCUCCCCCGGCCAGGACAUCUCCAGCAAGGACGUCUCCAGCAGGGGCGUCGCCAGCCUGGGCAUCUCCAGCCCGGGCCUCCCCUUCUAGGUCAUCGUCUGCCAGGUCAGCCUCCACGACAUCCUCUCCAACGAGAGUGUACCUUGUUAGAGCAACACCAGUGGGGGCCGUGCCCAUCCGGGCAUCUCCUGCCAGGUCAGCGCCAGCCACCAGAGCCACCGAGGAGAGCACAGGUAUCGGCUUGCCCAAGUUCACCUGGCAGGAGGGCCAGAAGCGGCUGCCGCUCAUCGGAUGUGUCCUCCUCCUCAUCGCCCUCGUGGUGUCACUCAUCAUUCUCCUCUACUUCUGGCGAGGCCACACGGGGAUCAAGUACAAGGAGCCGGUGGAGAGCUGCCCCACCCAUGCUGUGCGCUGUGAUGGGGUCGUGGACUGUAAGCUGAGGAGUGAUGAGCUGGGCUGUGUGAGGUUUGACUGGGACAAGUCUCUGCUUCAAGUCUACUCUGGGUCCUCCCACCAGUGGCUUCCCAUUUGCAGUGAGAGCUGGAAUGAUUCCUACUCGGAGAAGACCUGCCAGCAGCUGGGUUUCGUGAGUGCUUACCGGACAACCGAGGUGGCCCAUAGGGAUCUUGCCCACAGCUUCUCCAUCUCCAAAUACAACUCUACCCUCCAGGAAAGCCUCUACAGGUCUGAAUGCCCUUCCCAGCGGUAUGUCUCUCUCCAGUGUUCCCACUGUGGGCUGAGGGCCCUGACCGGGCGGAUCGUGGGAGGGGCGCUGGCCCCAGAGAGCAAGUGGCCUUGGCAAGUCAGUCUGCACUAUGGCACCACGCACAUUUGCGGGGGCACGCUGAUCGACGCCCAGUGGGUGCUCACCGCUGCCCACUGCUUCUUUGUGACCCGGGAGAAGAUCCUGGAGGGCUGGAAGGUCUACGCGGGCACCAGCAACCUCCUCCAGCUGCCUGAGGCAGCCUCCAUCUCCCAGAUCAUCAUCAACGGGAACUACACGGAUGAGGAGGACGACUAUGACAUCGCCCUCAUGCAGCUCUCCAAGCCCCUGACCCUAUCUGCUCACAUCCACCCUGCCUGCCUCCCUAUGCAUGGACAGACCUUCAAUCUCAAUGAAACCUGCUGGAUCACAGGUUUUGGCAAGACCAAGGAGACCGAUGAGAAGACCUCUCCCUUCCUCCGGGAGGUGCAGGUCAACCUCAUCGACUUUAAGAAAUGCAAUGACUUCUUGGUCUAUGACAGUUACCUUACCCCAAGGAUGAUGUGUGCUGGGGACCUGCGGGGAGGCAGAGACUCCUGCCAGGGAGACAGCGGGGGACCCCUGGUCUGCGAGCAGAACAACCGCUGGUACCUGGCAGGAGUCACUAGCUGGGGCACGGGCUGUGGCCAGAGAAACAAGCCCGGUGUGUACACCAAAGUGACAGAAGUCCUCCCCUGGAUUUACAGCAAGAUGGAGGUGAGAGCCUGCAUGGGGCACUGCACGGGGCAGACCGGGAACUCCCAAAGUGGGGUGCCUGGAAGAGGGCCCAGGCCUUCCCUUGUAUUUGGGGAUGUUCAGAAGGUGAGGAAAAUUGGGACAGGACAGGAAUCAAAUGUGGGGCCAGCCCCAGCUGCCUGUGUUUCCCUCCAUUUCCUUCCUCUGAGGGGCUGGAAGGGGUGGGCCCAGGUUGGGUGCUGGCCAACGUGUGAGCUCACACAGCCCAUCAGAGCACGCACGUGUGUAGGAGGGCUCCCUCCUCGCAGGAAGUUAGUCUCACAGCAGAUCAUCCCCCAUGCUGCUGACCCAGGGCGGUCCUGCCUUCCCUGCACCUGCCACCUUAGCUGUAAAGCAGGAGCGUACACUCGCCUUCCCUCCUCUGCCCGAGCGAGGGGGGCAGUGCAGAGAGCUCGGGUGGCUGCUCCAGAAAUCCACCUAGUGGGUCUCUCUGCUUCCAUGGCUCCUCCCUGCUGCCUCUCUCUGAGGAGCAGUGCCCAUGACAGCUGGGCUGAAUUUUAG